rnacentral:rRNA from 1 species
CACGUAGGGGGCAAGCGUUGUUCGGAAUUAUUGGGCGUAAAGGGCAUGUAGGCGGUCAUGUAAGUCUGGCGUGAAAUGGUUCGGCUUAACCGAAUCCUGCGUCGGAACCUGCGAGACUAGAAUCACUGAGGGGGAAUCAGAAUUCCAGGUGUAGGGGUGAAAUCUGUAGAUAUCUGGAAGAAUACCAGUGGCGAAGGCGGAUUCCUGGCAGAUGAUUGACGCUGAGGUGCGAAAGUGCGGGGAGCAAACAGG